rnacentral:rRNA from 1 species
AACGAACGCUGGCGGCAUGCCUAACACAUGCAAGUCGAACGAGACCUUCGGGUCUAGUGGCGCACGGGUGCGUAACGCGUGGGAACCUGCCCUUAGGUUCGGAAUAACUCCCCGAAAGGGGUGCUAAUACCGGAUAAUGUCUUCGGACCAAAGAUUUAUCGCCUUUGGAUGGGCCCGCGUUGGAUUAGCUAGUUGGUAGGGUAAAAGCCUACCAAGGCGACGAUCCAUAGCUGGUCUGAGAGGAUGAUCAGCCACACUGGGACUGAGACACGGCCCAGACUCCUACGGGGGGAACGAGUGGGAAAAUUGGGACAAGGGGGGAAACCCUGUCCCAGCAAUCCCGGGGGGGGGAUGAAGGCCUUAGGGUUGUAAAGCUUUUUUCCCCGGGAUGAUAAUGACAGUACCGGGAGAAUAAGCCCCGGCUAACCCCGU